rnacentral:rRNA from 1 species
UUCCGCAAUGGACGAAAGUCUGACGGAGCAACGCCGCGUGAGUGAUGAAGGUUUUCGGAUCGNAAAACUCUGUUGUUAGGGAAGANNACNNNCNGUUCGAAUAGGGCGGUACCUUGACGGUACCUAACCANNNANANACGGCUAACUACGUGCCAGCAGCCGCGGUAAUACGUAGGUGGCAAGCGUUGUCCGGAAUUAUUGGGCGUAAAGCGCGCGCAGGCGGUUUCUUAAGUCUGAUGUGAAAGCCCCCGGCUCAACCGGGGAGGGUCAUUGGAAACUGGGGAACUUGAGUGCAGAAGAGGAGAGUGGAAUUCCACGUGUAGCGGUGAAAUGCGUAGAGAUGUGGAGGAACACCAGUGGCGAAGGCGACUCCCUGGUCUGUAACUGACGCUGAGGCGCGAAAGCGUGGGGAGCGAACAG